CAAAAAGAGAGGCCAUAUGCUGGAACAAAGUCUGCCACUUCUACCAAGUCAUAGAGCAAAACAGCGUCUUUCGAUUCUCCAAACAAUAGAUAGAGUUGGUGCAGAGUCUGCUCCCUGAAGUUUAUAGGAUAGGAUGUUGCAAACCUUCCUUUAUGCUUAAAGAAUUUCAACCAUUGGCCUGGCUGGUAUACAUAAGAGUACAGUACAUUCCUUGAAAAAAACUGCAGAUAAUGAUGAUCUGCAAACCUGAAGCCUGUUUCCUGUUUUAGCUGUUGCCUGAAUCUUUUCUCCUCUUACUUGUCCUGCAGCCCUUGGGUCUUGAACUUUCAGCAGGUUCCGGGUCAAGCGGCUUUUUCUUUGAAGGACUGGCUGUGUUUGUGGGGACAGAAUUACGAGGAGGUUCCCUCUCUUCCUUGCAAUCUGUCUCUGAGGCAUCUUGACUUGAAAGUUUAUCAUACAAAAUAGCAGAGUCCAAGGCAUACACACGGAGGGCGAGGGCUGAGAGCGUUGAGUUUCUUGCUGCAGCUGAAGGUGAUGACCAAUACCACCAAUCAUUUUUCAAAUAUUCGGUUUUGAUUGCGUCCUCUAAAAUAAUUGUGGCUUGGACCAUCUCAUAAAUUGUAGCUGCAGAUUUUACAAAGGCACGCCAUACACGUCUUCUCUCUGGUUGUAACCUUGACACUCUCAAAGCUUCUUCAGGUAAAGCCGCAUCUAUGUCAAGCAGGUUGAUUUUAAGACACCGUAAAAUCACAGAAGCCCGACCUGCUACAGGAUGUAGCGAGGAUUCCGGAAUAACAAAGUACAUAUUAACCCCAAAUUCAAGGAUUUUAUCCUUGGUAGAAGAAAACUUGUCUCUUCCCCUCUUGGUUGCAGAUUUUAGUCUCCCAAACACUGGUCCAGCCCCAGCUAAACCAUUUCCAGUACAAUUUGGCUUGUCGGAGUUAUUAAUGCAAGAAAAUUUGACCCCAUUCCGAAGUUGGUGCUCUGAAGAUAACAGAUCUGUAGAAUUUCCUCCACAUACCUCAUCUUCCCUUUGGGAGAGCAGUCCAAGGGCAGAAUCACAUAGAUAUGGAGAUGUGCCUGGAACAAAUGACGGGGUACCAUUACACCCAAUGAGUCCUAUCUCGUUCACCAGCUCCUUGAGUGAACUCUGAGUGAUGAACUGUGCUUUGAUCUCCUCCAACUUAAAUGGACAUUCCUGUUUGGUUUGAUUUUCAGCAGAAGCUGGUGCAUUACCAUGCUUGUCCCUCCUACAGUCAAUAGUGCUCAAUGAAUUAUCCUGCAGAAUUUCAUUAUUCGCUUUCCUUUUACACUUCACAGGUUGUUCACUUGUUUCCCCAUCCCGCUGAAUGGAAGAAUCGAUCCUGCACUUUUCAUUUGCAUGCUUCUGACGUUCCUUAGCAUCGGAAAAUGUUUGGUGGCAUGACAGACAAUGAGGUCUAGACGGCCAUAAUGGUUCUAGACACUCGCACCUGUAUAAUUCACCAUCAAAAGAAACUCUAACUUUGACACCAAGAUUCGUG
rnacentral:misc_RNA from 1 species